GUCAUGAUACCAGGUCCUUCAAGCGACUGAUCGAGUCUCAUGACUACACUUGUGGGUCCAUCUUGACCCCUGAUGGUCACAUACUUCAAGGCAAGGCAUUUGUCAGACUUCAGAUGUGCUGUACCACUCCAAUCGAGUUUGCAUAUUUUGCAUCAUCGUCCAUCGUCCGCAAGGAUAUAUGUUGUCAUUGUGGGAGUUUCGGGGAAGAACGAGACAAGGAUCUCAUGCAGAACUAUCGCGUUGUAUUACCUGUUUGCAUUAAUUGCAAGCACCUUGGAUCUCCAAAGAGGAAUCCUAUUCGGAAAUGAAUAUGUUAACUAGUGUGUUAAUCUUAACUAUAAAACAGUACACUUU